rnacentral:rRNA from 1 species
CUUAAUUAUAAGUUCAACCAAGAUUACAUUA